AGACAAUUUAGAUAACAAUAGAAAGCAUGAUAUUUCUUAUAGUUAAUUCAGUCUAGAUCGACCGAAUUGCAAUACUAUGUUGAUUCAAUUUACAAUGCCAAACCAAAAGUAGACUUUUCAAGCGGGUGUACAGAAGCACAUCAAGGGCUGAUUGAAAACUACAAGUUGUGAAGGUGAUCAUGUAGCAUAAUUAGGCAGGGUAGAGGAGUGAUGUGCUUGCGUGAACCGGUGAAGGUUCAAAUCUUGUAUCUACAAUUUCACAUCAGUCACAGACUUGUAUGCUGACAUAGACUGCCCAUGCAACCUGCUGGCUCACCGGCUUGGCCUGGAUCGUAGUAUUGCAACCUGCUGACACCAAUUCCCAACACCACCCAUUCUAAUUCCGGAUACUCACAAAAGUGAUGCUAGCUAGUACCAAGAUUACUGUGAUCACUUUAACUGAACUUUGUUCCUAUUGUGCUCAAACGUAGGCCGUCAUAUUGCUAUGGAACUUGAGCGGAUCAUGCCAGUGCUAGAGAAGUGACAAGCAAAUAGUAUCCGACAUGUAUAUAGGCUAGCCAACUUAGUGCUCAGCUCAUGUAUCUUCUUACUAGAGGACACAAAUGUAUUGCUCAGUGCUCACUCGCCAAUAAUUGAUUCAUUGCACACAUCACCGUCUCUUUACUUUGGAUGGCUGAGACGUAUAAAUCAAAGUCAAAAGGACAUACUCCAACCUCUCCAACACAAUGCAGCAGCACCAGUAAUCUUUGUAAGACCCUAUUUAUUACGAAUAUUAAUGUAUAACAAUGUAAUGCAGCCACACAUGCCUCUAGCAGCCACUUUAUGGUUUCGACUCUUCUGUCUCUAAAUUACUUCGUCUUUUCUGUGUGGUAUCCAAACAACAGUUUUGGAGUAUUCCUGUGUUUUGGAUUCAUGUAGGAAUUCAGGACAUGCAUCUCAAUCCAUCCGGUUUUUUAGUUCACGCAUUGGGGGUGAGACCUAAAUCUAGAAUUCUAGAUUGUAAUUGCAUGGGGUUCCUACUCUUGACCUGUAAGUUACACUGCUUCCCACAUAUACAAUUUUUUUUUUUUUUUGCGAUGAGCUUCCCACAUAUACAAUUUGAUGUUACAUAAUACAGCUUCCCACCUAAUAUAAGUUGAGCAAGCAAACAACGUUCAACUUGUAAGCACCGACAAUAGUUGCUCUUCCACGGUUACCAUCUCUUUUUCUUUCAUUCUUUCUUGUAUGACAUAGUAGUCCAUGAGGUCUCAUCAUCUUUGCCACGUGGCGAAGCAUUGCCGAGAGUUAAGGCUGCUCCCAAUGCUCCACUUUGGAUAGGUGCUAAGCAUGCCAACAAGACAAAAAAUCCUAUGUGAUAAUCUAAUUAAGAAGAGAGAGAGGAGUUUGGUGUCCUCAGAAGAAAACGGUGCUAGUCACGGAAACCUAUGCAAAACAUUAAAAAUGAGCAGAACUAGCCUAUGCAUGCAAGACUUUAGUUGCUAAAUAAUUAAAUGAGACAACCUUAACAACAACAAACUAAAC
rnacentral:lncRNA from 1 species